UGGAAAAUGAAUAACGAGCUGGAUGAUGAUUAAAAAGUGGGGGCAAAAAUAGGCCAUUUUAAUGGGUUUGAAAAAAAGAGGAGGGGGUGGAGAACACGACGACGACUGUGGGAUCAUGGGACUGAGAAGGCACAGAUCUAGAAGUAGGUUUUUUUUUAACCCUGUUGAUUAUGAUUUGGCUCCUUUGUUUGUUUACACAUCUUCUAAGACCUGCACAUACUGUAUUGUUCUUUCAACAAAAACCAGCCCGAGGACUUGAAUUCUCUUGGAGCUCACAUCAAAUGGUUGGUGCCUGCUGAAAUUGACACACUCAAAAACAUAUGAUAAUGCUGAUGUAGCAUUCAAAGACACACACACAAAAAAAUACUUACACCUCCACAAGCAGCCACAGUAUGAAUAAAGUGAUCAGUGCACAACAUAAGUAGGCGAGACACAAACCUCAUUUUGCUGUAGAAUUCAGCUUUUCACAUAAUUUCACUGCAAUUUCACCAGCAACAGGCAAUAAGGAUUUUAUAUAAAACGUGCAAACAUCUUCAGAAGGUCCCAAAAGGGAAAUAUCCCACAAGUAAUGUGCAAUAGGUUCAACAGCAUCAUUCAUGGCAACUUGUACAUCCCGUUCAUUAAACAAGUCAACACUGUUGCAAAAGAAAAAAAAACUCCAUAUGUGC